UUGCCCGAAUCCUGACACAGGGAGGUAGUGACAAGAAAUAACAAUACAGGGCUACAUCUAGUCUUGUAAUUGGAAUGAGUACAAUUUACAUCUCUUAACGAGGAUCAAUUGGAGGGCAAGUCUGGUGCCAGCAGCCGCGGUAAUUCCAGCUCCAAUAGCGUAUAUUAAAGUUGUUGCAGUUAGAACGCUCGUAGUCGGAUUUCGGGGCGGGCCGACCGGUCUGCCGAUGGGUACGCACUGGUCGGCGCGUCCUUCCUUCCGGAGACCGUUCCUACUCUUAACCGAGCGGGGGCGGGAGACGGAUCGUUUACUUUGAAAAAAUCAGAGUGUUUCAAGCAGGCAGCUCGCUCUUGCAUGGAUUAGCAUGGGAUAAUGAAAUAGGACUUUGGUGCUAUUUUGUUGGUUUCGAACACCGAAGUAAUGAUUAAAAGGGACAGUCAGGGGCACUCGUAUUCCGCCGAGAGAGGUGAAAUUCUCAGACCAGCGGAGGACGAACUACUGCGAAAGCAUUUGCCAGGGAUGUUUUCACUGAUCAAGAACGAAAGUUAGGGGAUCGAAGAC
rnacentral:rRNA from 1 species